rnacentral:rRNA from 1 species
UACGGGGGGGGUAAGCGUUGUUCGGAAUUACUGGGCGUAAAGGGCUCGUAGGCGGCCAACUAAGUCAGACGUGAAAUCCCUCAGCUUAACUGGGGAACUGCGUCUGAUACUGGAUGGCUUGGAUUCGGGAGAGGAAUGCGGAAUUCCAGGUGUAGCGGUGAAAUGCGUAGAUAUCUGGAGGAACACCGGUGGCGAAGGCGGCAUUCUGGACCGACAUUGACGCUGAGGAGCGAAAGUGUGGGGAGCGAACAGG